GCAUCCGUAGCUCAGCUGGAUAGAGCGGCAGCCUCCGAAGCUGUAGGUCAGAGGUUCGAAUCCUCUCGGGUGCA
rnacentral:tRNA from 1 species